GAUCGGCUGAGUACCCUCAGGUUAACAAAUAACAUGAUAAUCCAAACUUUAAACAGAUAGAAUCUAUAGCUAAAGUUAAUAUCGAGGGGAAAAGCAAGCAUCUAUAGCUAAAGUUAAUAUCAAGGGAAAAAAGCAAGCAUAGGCAGUAUGGAAAACCAAAGCUAUGGGUCUGAAAAAUCCUUCUUCCUUUCAUUUGUUUAACUGUAACUUACGAGAUGCAUCCAUCCCCAUGACCAAAGCUCAGAUUGUUGCUUUUCUCUAACCUUGAGCAGAAUUCACCAGGGAUGUCUUGUACAUUGGCCUGGCUUAACCCAGUCAGUUUGCCAGUUAACCAGUUAACUCUCAUGGAACAUGUGGGACUCCAUACAAGGACAGGUUUGGGUGCAUAUGCACAGUCAUCCAGCAAGGGAAGGACUUCUGGGUGCUUGCAUUUGGAUAUGGUGGAGACAGGACCAGGAAGAGGAGCUCUGCAAAAAUGGGACAUAGAAAAACAGUGAGGUCAGUGGGUUUUAUUGCACUAAAGAAGCAACUUUCUCCUUUCUUUUCUUUUCUUCCCCUCUUACCAUGACAGAAUGGCAUCUGAAAAGGAAGGGAAGAAAUAAUCUCAGACUGAACUCAGAGAAAGGAGGAGAAGAGCAGCAGCAGUUCUUUAUGCAUUUGAGUACACAGAGGUGGUGCAUACUUCUGGAAUAAGGCACAGCAGUAGAUGGAAGCAAAUAAUAAGUGAUCACCAGUUGCAGAAGAAGCCUACCUGCCAUCUCUAGUAUAAAGCCUCUCCUUUCUCCAGGAUACAACCACAGGGAUUUUUCUAGACUGAGGAAUUGUGUCCUGCUCUUGGUCCCUCUUUCUGGGGUGUUUCACUGCAUGGGGAAAUGAAGAAAAAAAUUAGGAGAGUCCAGUAUGAUCGAAAUACUCAGCUCAAAAUACACAAAAGUGAACAAACAAUUUAUGUCCAACAUAUGAACCCAAAUGGUUGAAAGAAGUAAUAAACACCUUUGAAUUAUAGAUGUCCCCUAAAAAGAGAGAUAUUGUAAGCACAUGUGAUAGCAUCAUUCACCACAUUUGCUGCAAAUGUGUUCUUAGUUCAUCAUAUUAUUGAAGGAUGCAAACUUAUCACAUUAAAUAGGACUAUUGUAAUUUAAAAAUAGGAAAAGAAGUUCAAUAAUUUCUGCUUCAAAGUGGUGGAUAUGCCUGCUUUUACAUGAGUGCAUCAUGAGCUUAUCAAUUUCAAACUAACAGCACAGAGGACUUUCUCAAGGUUGUUGUUUCCCUGAGAUUCUCCUUGGGGUUGGUGUCCCUCAAGGUACUAAGGGUUCCCCCAAGGUUGCUUUUCCCUGGGAGUUUCCUCUGGGUUGCUGUUCCCAGAGGUAAUAAGGUUUUCAGUCUUCUCUUUGCCCUAAGUGUUACACACCAGAGGUAGAGACGACAAGCUGAGUCCACCGGUGCACAUUUCCAAGGUUGUUUAUUCUUCAUUAUCUCAGUCCUUUUUCAGCUCUGCCAGGCACUUCCCUGGCAGGGUACCUUAUCUUAGUUCUUUCUCAGCUCUGUGAGGCAUCCCCAGCAGAGCAGGACACGCUGCAGACUGGGCGGAUCAGAGAGCCCCACACCUUAUGUACAGUACCCCUGACCCAACCACUGUCCACAACGUACUUUUUAUUUACAAAAUUGUACCAAUACCUACUACCUAUGCUAACAUGUCAGUUCUACUCUAAACCAAUCCUUGAGAUCCAACUCAGCAGAAAAUGGGGGACGAGAGCAAGAACAAGGAGCACAGGGGCCACUCCCCAAUUCCUCCAUCUUGCCUCUUCAACCCCAUAUACUGAGAAUCCUAGAUUCUACAUUUACAUUCUAUGAUAAACUAAAUACUACUUAUUUUGAAUUCUCCCAGCUUGUGAUUCUUCAUACAAUGUGGGCAUUCACUCCCAUGGACAGGGGUCAGAGGCAAUGUCCUCCUGGGCUCUGUGUGAGGCUGGUUGACCCCCUUGUACAGAUCCCAGACCCCCCUGUCUGGUCUCCAAACCCUCCAGGGUGGCCAGAGGGAUGUUCUAGACUCCAACAGACUUCACUAAGUGUGUUCUGUCUGGGGUUGAACCUUGCUGGCAGUGCACCCGUGCAGCAGGUGAACGCAAUGGCAGGACAUUCAUUUCACUUCUCAGGAGAUUUUCCCUAUGUGAUUAUUGUACAGAUGAUACAGAGAGAAUGGGAACUGGGAUGACAUUUCAGUGCUGAGAAACUUGCUCUUGUUGUUGCUCAGCUGGGGAACAUCACCCUCAGCUCUCAAGCUGUGUAGUGCAUCAAGUAGGUUUGACCUGUAGGUUCUGUAAUAUCUGCAAGCCAGGCCUCUCACUCCCAAGAAAGUGCUCCAAUUUCUUCAGUGCUCAGCUACAAGGUAGGUAGAGUUACCAUGUGCUUCUCUCCUGCCAAAUGAGAUCCCAAGUGGCUAGAGGUUCCUACUGUCAACAAAGGCUUCUUUAGGGUAAAAAGGGAGUGUCCAGCUUAGCAAGAUUUCUGCCUCCAGUGAACUUCACAGGUUUAUGUUUUCUCACCUAAUGUAUGUGAAUUUUGUAGACUACUAGAUCAAUAGCAGGCCAGCCACUGAAUCUGUGAGGGAAAUAGUGCUUCAGUGAAGUAAAAAACUGGAAAGGCAUUUAAAGUAUAUUCUUGACUUUAUAAUUUUAUACCUGCCCAAUACAUCAGAAUACAGUGAUGUCUGGAAUGGACAUGAGAGCUGUACUGUAACAUGAAAAUCUGCAUACACUACAGCAAAAAAAACCAAAAAACCAAACCGACCAACCAACAAACAAACAAAAAACCACAAAAAUAAACAAGCAAAACCCCAAAAAACAACCCAAAUCCCCAACCCAAACUUUUUCUGCUGUUGUUAUAACAGCUCCCCAAAUUAAAUAAAUUGUGUGAUGAAAAAUCCAUUUAAAACAUGAUGGCCCAUGGAUCAAGUCUAACAUUUUUGUUAAAGACAUCCCCUCCUCCCUCCAAAAAUUAAAAUAACUAACUUUUCUCUUCUGCUACAGCUCGUGUCAUAAACACAGCUUGAGACAAUAACAUUUGUAUCAUAUUUCUGAGCAGAGGAUGAAAGAGUGUGAUAGAAUGGGGAUUGCGAAUGGACUGUCAGUAUAAUAGGAAACAUUUCUGUCCCUGAAAGCUGUGUGUUCUUCUCUGCCAGCUCAAUAAAACAUAGAUUACUUUUUAAGUUUGCAACAAGAGGAUCAGGGUUUUUUCUGCAUUUAAUUGUUUUAGCAUUUGGGUAGAUAUAAUUCUUUUAAGAGGAAGCAUGAUGAAAGACAUUUAUCUGUAAGAUAUUUUUAAGGUACUCAGAGUAUUUAUGGACGUAAAAAGUUCAGCUUCUUGUCAUCUUGACAUCAGCAAUGGAAUAAAAUUUACACCAUAAUGUUGAGAUAGUUUUAAAAUAGUAUCUUUUUCUAUGUUAUAUGUACAAGUAUAGCUGCAACUUUCCAAGAACUGUAGCCGUAAUAA